rnacentral:misc_RNA from 1 species
GUGAAUCAUCAAAUCUUUGAACGCAAAUUGCACUCUCUUCGGAGAGUAUGCCUGUUUGAGGGUCAGCCUAAAAAAAAUCGACGUAGUCGCUGUUUCGCGGUGACAUUCGUCGGAAAUUGGGUCAUCUUAAACCUUUUGGUUUUAUGAGCGGCUAAAUUUUUUCUAUGCGUUUACAAGUGCGUUUCA